GAUGAAGAACGCAGCGAAAUGCGAUAAGUAAUGUGAAUUGCAGAAUUCAGUGAAUCAUCGAAUCUUUGAACGCACAUUGCGCCCGUCAGUAUUCUGGCGGGCAUGCCUGUUCGAGCGUCAUUACGCCCCUCAAGUCCCCUGUGGACUUGGUGUUGGGGAUCGGCGAGGCUGGUUUUCCAGCACAGCCGUCCCUUAAAUUAAUUGGCGGUCUCGCCGUGGCCCUCCUCUGCGCAGUAGUAAAACACUCGCAACAGGAGCCCGGCGCGGCCACUGCCGUAAAACGCCCAACUUUUAAGAGUUGACCUCGAAUCAGGUAGGAAUACCCGCUGAACUUAAGCAUAUCAAUAAGCGGAGGA
rnacentral:misc_RNA from 1 species